CCAGUCCACACACAUCCACCCCUCCACACAGGGCUGACUGGCCCAGUCCACACACAUCCACCCCUCCACACAGGGCUGACUGGCCCAGUCCACACACAUCCACCCCUCCACACAGGGCUGACUGGCCCAGUCCACACACAUCCACCCCUCCACACAGGGCUGACUGGCCCAGUCCACACACAUCCACCCCUCCACACAGGGCUGACUGGCCCAGCCCACACACAUCCACCCCUCCACACAGGGCUGACUGGCCCAGCCCACACACAUCCACCCCUCCACACAGAGCUGACUGGCCCAGUCCACACACAUCCACCCCUCCACACAGGGCUGACUGGCCCAGUCCACACACAUCCACCCCUCCACACAGGGCUGACUGGCCCAGUCCACACACAUCCACCCCUCCACACAGGGCUGACUGGCCCAGUCCACACACAUCCACCCCUCCACACAGGGCUGACUGGCCCAGUCCACACACAUCCACCCCUCCAUACAGACCACCAACACCUGGAUCCGUCCGCAGCAGCAGCCAUGAUGAAACCCUACUCCAUGGACCCUGCCCCAACCCCAAGGCAAGCCAGCCUCAGCACCUCUCCGCCCCACGUCCCAGCAGAAAGCCCCCCACAGACAGACGUCUCCCCACCAGGCAAGAAAAAGAAAGGCUUGUUCUCCAAAGGGAAGAAGCUUUUCAAGAAGCUGGGAUCCAGCAAGAAGGAUUGAAACUUGGGACAUUUACCAACUCAUUGCAGUUUUUGUUGAAAACACUUUUAUAUCAUUAUCGGUCUUGGUUGUCUUGAGCUAUGCUGUUAGUUUAGUUGUAAUAUUCAGUAACUAUGGAUACACUAAGAUAUUAUACAGCUGAAUACACCUCUUCGAUAUAAUACUAUUAGACGAGCUGGCAAUAUGUGGAGGGUAUUUUGUGUGUAUCUGAAAUGGCACCCUAUUCCCUAUAUAGUGCACUACUAUAACACCCUAUUCCCUAUAUAGUGCACUACUAUAGCACCCUAUUCCCUAUAUAGUGCACUAUUAUAGCACCCUGUUCCCUAUAUAGUGCACUACUAUAGCACCCUGUUCCCUAUAUAGUGCACUACUAUAGCACCCUAUUCCCUAUAUAGUGCACUACUAUAGCACCCUGUUCCCUAUAUAGUGCACUACUAUAGCACCCUAUUCCCUAUAUAGUGCACUACUAUAGCACCCUAUUCCCUAUAUAGUGCACUACUAUAGCACCCUAUUCCCUAUAUAGUGCACUACUAUAGCACCCUACUCCCUAUAUAGUGCACUACUAUAGCACCCUAUUCCCUAUAUAGUGCACUACUAUAGCACCCUACUCCCUAUAUAGUGCACUACUAUAGCACCCUACUCCCUAUUUAGUGCACUACUAUAGCACCCUAUUCCCUAUUAUACUGCACUACUUUGGGAAUAGGGAGACAUUUCAGAUGCAACCAUUGCCGUAUAUAAGACGUGAUGGCAUCAAUUGAGCGCGUUGAAGUAUUUCAGCUCCUAACCUGUUCUGUGCUUACAGUAUUCCUCUGAGUACCCACUGAUUCUACGAUAACCUUUAGUAGUCCACUUUGUGAGGGGUUUCUCAUUCACCUUCAUCUGGCAGUAUUAUCUGGAAGGAUUUGAUCAGAUACUGAUGUUAAAAAUGGUGCUCUAGACUUUCAUUUAGACUCUCCAUCGUUGGCUUGGAGAGGCCCCAUGCAUCAUGUCCAGGUUAUGCUCCAACCACUGUCAGUUUAAACUGAGAGGACGGGCUUGGAGAGGCCCCAUGCAUCAUGUCCAGGUUACGCUCCAACCACUGUCAGUUUAAACUGAGAGGACGGGCUUGGAGAGGCCCCAUGCAUCAUGUCCAGGUUAUGCUCCAACCACUGUCAGUUUAAACUGAGAGGACGGGCUUGGAGAGGCCCCAUGCAUCAUGUCCAGGUUAUGCUCCAACCACUGUCAGUUUAAACUGAGAGGACGGGCUUGGAGAGGCCCCAUGCAUCAUGUCCAGGUUAUGCUCCAACCACUGUCAGUUUAAACUGAGAGGACGGGCUUGGAGAGGCCCCAUGCAUCAUGUCCAGGUUAUGCUCCAACCACUGUCAGUUUAAACUGAGAGGACGGGCUUGGAGAGGCCCCAUGCAUCAUGUCCAGGUUAUGCUCCAACCACUGUCAGUUUAAACUGAGAGGACGGGCUUGGAGAGGCCCCAUGCAUCAUGUCCAGGUUAUGCUCCAACCACUGUCAGUUUAAACUGAGAGGACGGGCUUGGAGAGGCCCCAUGCAUCAUGUCCAGGUUAUGCUCCAACCACUGUCAGUUUAAACUGAGAGGACGGGCUUGGAGAGGCCCCAUGCAUCAUGUCCAGGUUAUGCUCCAACCACUGUCAGUUUAAACUGAGAGGACGGGCUUGGAGAGGCCCCAUGCAUCAUGUCCAGGUUAUGCUCCAACCACAGUCAGUUUAAACUGAGAGGACGGGCUUGGAGAGGCCCCAUGCAUCAUGUCCAGGUUAUGCUCCAACCACUGUCAGUUUAAACUGAGAGGACGGGCUUGGAGAGGCCCCAUGCAUCAUGUCCAGGUUAUGCUCCAACCACUGUCAGUUUAAACUGAGAGGACGGGCUUGGAGAGGCCCCAUGCAUCAUGUCCAGGUUACGCUCCAACCACUGUCAGUUUAAACUGAGAGGACGGAAGAGGGUCCCUUCAUCUGUCAACUGUUGUCUCUCAACCCUGUCACUUUUCAGAUUGAUCUGGAAUGUAUUCUAUAAUGGAUGUAUUUUAACAUCAUUGAGUCUCAUAUCAAAAGUAUUAUAACUAGCUAACUAUAUAACAACAACAACAAAAAUAUGCUAAUUGUACACUUUGAGUCUUUCACUUGUUGUGAAGAUUUCACUACACAGUACAGCUGAAUGGAAGUUGUUCCUUCAACAACUGCAUCCAUUUCAUUACGAUUCAUAACCAACAAGUCAUUUCUUUUAGAGGGUGUUGAAGUUUGGAACGUUUGAUAUUUAGUGUGAGGAAGGACAGGCCUUGUGGUCUUCUAAAGUGUGAGGAUGGACAGAUGGACAGGCCUUGUGGUCCUCUAAAGUGUGAGGAAGGACAGGCCUUGUGGUCUUCUAAAGUGUGAGGAUGGACAGGCCUUGUGGUCUUCUAAAGUGUGAGGAUGGACAGGCCUUGUGGUCUUCUAAAGUGUGAGGAUGGACAGGCCUUGUGGUCUUCCAAAGUGUGAGGAUGGACAGGCCUUGUGGUCUUCUAAAGUGUGAGGAUGGACAGGCCUUGUGGUCUUCUAAAGUGUGAGGAUGGACAGGCCUUGUGGUCUUCCAAAGUGUGUGGAUGGACAGGCCUUGUGGUCUUCUAAAGUGUGUGGAUGGACAGGCCUUGUGGUCUUCUAAAGUGUGAGGAUGGACAGGCCUUGUGGUCUUCUAAAGUGUGAGGAUGGACAGGCCUUGUGGUCUUCUAAAGUGUUAGGAUGGACAGAUGGACAGGCCUUGUGGUCUUCUAAAGUGUGAGGAUGGACAGGCCUUGUGGUCUUCUAAAGUGUGAGGAUGGACAGGCCUUGUGGUCUUCUAAAGUGUGGGGAUGGACAGACCUUGUGG